GCCACCCUAGCUCAGCUGGUAGAGCGGCUGAUUCGUAAUCAGCAGGUCGUGGGUUCGAAUCCCACGGGUGGCUCCA
rnacentral:tRNA from 1 species